rnacentral:rRNA from 1 species
UAGGGAAUCUUCGGCAAUGGACGAAAGUCUGACCGAGCAACGCCGCGUGAGUGAAGAAGGUUUUCGGAUCGUAAAACUCUGUUGUUAGAGAAGAACAAGGACGUUAGUAACUGAACGUCCCCUGACGGUAUCUAACCAGAAAGCCACGGCUAACUACGUGCCAGCAGCCGCGGUAAUACGUAGGUGGCAAGCGUUGUCCGGAUUUAUUGGGCGUAAAGCGAGCGCAGGCGGUUUCUUAAGUCUGAUGUGAGAGCCCCCGGCUCAACCGGGGAGGGUCAUUGGAAACUGGGAGACUUGAGUGCAGAAGAGGAGAGUGGAAUUCCAUGUGUAGCGGUGAAAUGCGUAGAUAUAUGGAGGAACACCAGUGGCGAAGGCGGCUCUCUGGUCUGUAACUGACGCUGAGGCUCGAAAGCGUGGGGAGCAAACAGG